GAUGGCUAUAGAGCGUGGUGCUGAUAACACCAAGGUCGUGGGUUCGAUCCCCAUUC
rnacentral:tRNA from 1 species